GACGAACGCUGGCGGCGUGCUUAACACAUGCAAGUCGAACGAUGAAGCUAGAGCUUGCUCUGGUGGAUUAGUGGCGAACGGGUGAGUAACACGUGAGUAACCUGCCCCGAACUCUGGGAUAACUGCUGGGAACGGUAGCUAAUACUGGAUACGACCUACGAAGGCAUCUUCUGUAGGUGGAAAGAAUUUCGGUUCGGGAUGGACUCGCGGCCUAUCAGCUUGUUGGUGAGGUAAUGGCUCACCAAGGCGACGACGGGUAGCCGGCCUGAGAGGGUGACCGGCCACACUGGGACGGGGACACGGCCCGGACUCCUACGGGAGGCAGCGGGGGGGAAUAUUGCACAAUGGGCGCAAGCCUGAUGCAGCAACGCCGCGUGAGGGAUGACGGCCUUCGGGUUGUAAACCUCUUUUAGCAGGGAAGAAGCGAAAGUGACGGUACCUGCAGAAAAAGCACCGGCUAACUACGUGCCAGCCGCCGCCGUAA
rnacentral:rRNA from 1 species